UAGGGAAUCUUCCGCAAUGGGCGAAAGCCUGACGGAGCAACGCCGCGUGAGUGAUGAAGGUCUUCGGAUCGUAAAACUCUGUUAUUAGGGAAGAACAAAUGUGUAAGUAACUAUGCACGUCUUGACGGUACCUAAUCAGAAAGCCACGGCUAACUACGUGCCAGCAGCCGCGGUAAUACGUAGGUGGCAAGCGUUAUCCGGAAUUAUUGGGCGUAAAGCGCGCGUAGGCGGUUUUUUAAGUCUGAUGUGAAAGCCCACGGCUCAACCGUGGAGGGUCAUUGGAAACUGGAAAACUUGAGUGCAGAAGAGGAAAGUGGAAUUCCAGGUGUAGCGGUGAAAUGCGCAGAGAUAUGGAGGAACACCAGUGGCGAAGGCGACUUUCUGGUCUGUAACUGACGAUGAUGUGCGAAAGCGUGGGGAUCAAACAGG
rnacentral:rRNA from 1 species